CUGGCCCUACGGGGGGCAGCAGUGGGGGAUAUUGCACAAUGGGGGGAACCCUGAUGCAGCGACGCCGCGUGGGUGAAGGAGCGUUUCGGCGCGUAAAGCCCUAUCGGCAGGGAAGAAGGAGGACGGCACCUGACUAAGAAGCCCCGGCUAACUACGUGCCAGCAGCCGCGGUAAUACGUAGGGGGCAAGCGUUAUCCCGAUUUACUGGGUGUAAAGGGGGCGCAGACGGCAGCGCAAGCCAGGAGGGAAAGCCCGGGGCCCAACCCCGGGACUGCUCUUGGAACUGCGCGGCUGG
rnacentral:rRNA from 1 species